UUCCAGACUCCUACGGGGGCAGCAGUGAGGAAUAUUGGUCAAUGGCCGGAAGGCUGAACCAGCCAUGCCGCGUGAAGGUCAGUGCCCUAUGGGCGUUAAACUUCUUUUGUGCGGGAGCAAUAAUGGUCACGUGUGGCCAGACGAGAGUACCGUACGAAUAAGCAUCGGCUAACUCCGUGCCAGCAGCCGCGGUAAUACGGGGGAUGCAAGCGUUAUCCGGAUUUAUUGGGUUUAAAGGGUGCGUAGGCUGUGAGGUAAGUCAGCGGUGAAAUGCCCCCGCUCAACGGGGUGAAGUGCCAUUGAUACUGCCUUGCUGGAAUGCGGAUGCCGUGGGAGGAAUGUGUGGUGUAGCGGUGAAAUGCAUAGAUAUCACGCAGAACUCCGAUUGCGAAGGCAGCAUACCGGCGCCCAACUGACGCUGAAGCACGAAAGCGUGGGUAUCGAACAGGAUUAGAUACCCGCGUAC
rnacentral:rRNA from 1 species